GAUGAACGCUGGCGGCGUGCCUAACACAUGCAAGUCGAGCGAACGGACGAGGAGCUUGCUUGUCUGAUGUUAGCGGCGGACGUGAUAGUAACACGUGGAUAACCUACCUAUAAGACUGGGAUAACUUCGGGAAACCGGAGCUAAUACCGGCUAAUAUUUUGAACCGCAGGGUUCAAAAGUGAAAGACGGUCUUGCUGUCACUUAUAGAUGGAGCCGUGCUGCAUUAGCUAGUUGGUAAGGUAACGGCUUACCAAGGCAACGAUGCAUAGCCGACCUGAGAGGGUGAUCGGCCACACUGGAACUGAGACACGGUCCAGACUCCUACGGGAGGCAGCAGUAGGGAAUCUUCCGCAAUGGGCGCAAGCCUGACGGAGCAACGCCGCGUGAGGGAUGAAGGUCUUCGGAUCGUAAAACUCUGUUAUUAGGAAAGAACAGAUGUGUAAGUAACUGUGCACAUCUUGACGGUACCGAAUCAGAAAGCAACGGCUAACUACGUG
rnacentral:rRNA from 1 species